rnacentral:sRNA from 2 species
ACGAGACCGACACCGAGAACAGAUUUCUAGGAGCGAGGACGGGGGACCCACCCUCAUCCCCUGAGACCGGGCAUCACACCGAUGUCCUUGGGGUUAAGUCCCAGGGCUCACAAGGCCCCGGGACCGAGCAACCUCUCGCUCGAACCCGACAGCUGACUUCGUAGGCGCGUGGAGAGAGGAAUU